AGCGAACGCUGGCGGCAGGCUUAACACAUGCAAGUCGAACGGGCGUAGCAAUACGUCAGUGGCAGACGGGUGAGUAACGCGUGGGAACGUACCUUUUGGUUCGGAACAACACAGGGAAACUUGUGCUAAUACCGGAAAAGCCCUUACGGGGAAAGAUUUAUCGCCGAAAGAUCGGCCCGCGUCUGAUUAGCUUGUUGGUGAGGUAAUGGCUCACCAAGGCGACGAUCAGUAGCUGGUCUGAGAGGAUGAUCAGCCACAUUGGGACUGAGACACGGCCCAAACUCCUACGGGAGGCAGCAGUGGGGAAUAUUGGACAAUGGGCGCAAGCCUGAUCCAGCCAUGCCGCGUGAGUGAUGAAGGCCCUAGGGUUGUAAAGCUCUUUUGUGCGGGAAGAUAAUGACGGUACCAUUUAUAAGCUCCGGCUAACUACGUGCCAGCCGCCGCCGUAAGAC
rnacentral:rRNA from 1 species